CCUACGGGAGGCAGCAGUGGGGAAUAUUGGACAAUGGGGGGAACCCUGAUCCAGCCAUGCCGCGUGUGUGAAGAAGGCCCUCGGGUUGUAAAGCACUUUCAGUGAGGAAGAACGCCUGGUGGUUAAUACCCAUCAGGAAAGACAUCACUCACAGAAGAAGCACCGGCUAACUCCGUGCCAGCAGCCGCGGUAAUACGGAGGGUGCGAGCGUUAAUCGGAAUUACUGGGCGUAAAGCGCGCGUAGGUGGCUUGAUAAGCCGGUUGUGAAAGCCCCGGGCUCAACCUGGGAACGGCAUCCGGAACUGUCAAGCUAGAGUGCAGGAGAGGAAGGUAGAAUUCCCGGUGUAGCGGUGAGAUGCGUAGAGAUCGGGAGGAAUACCAGUGGCGAAGGCGGCCUUCUGGACUGACACUGACACUGAGGUGCGAAAGCGUGGGUAGCAAACAGGAUUAGAUACCCGGGUAGUC
rnacentral:rRNA from 1 species